rnacentral:rRNA from 1 species
AAUGAACGCUGGCGGCGUGCCUAACACAUGCAAGUCGAGCGAGAAAGUCUCUUCGGAGAUAAGUACAGCGGCGGACGGACGAGUAACGCGUGAGAAUUUACCCUUUAGUGAAGAAUACCUCUGAGAAAUCAGGGUUAAUACUGCAUACGUCCCUACGGGGAGAAAGGUGGCCUCUUUGCUGCCGCUAAAGGAUAAGCUUGCGUACUAUUAGCUAGUUGGUGAGGUAAAGGCUCACCAAGGCGAUGAUGGUUAGCCGGCCUGAGAGGGUGUACGGCCACACUGGAACUUAGACACGGUCUAGACUCCUACGGGAGGCAGCAGUGAGGAAUAUUGCGCAAUGGGCGAAAGCCUGACGCAGCGACGCCGCGUGGAGGAUGAAGGUCUUCGGAUUGUAAACUCCUGUUAAGUGGGAAGAAAGGACCUAUUUCUAAUACAGAUAGGGAUGACGGUACCAUUAGAGAAAGCACCGGCUAACUUCGUGCCAGCAGCCGCGGUAAU